rnacentral:lncRNA from 1 species
GUAACUAUUUUGACAAUUUUACUCAAAUGUUGAAACAUAUGGAACAUUUUUACACUUAUAUCCAAAAGUGUUGUGCUAGGUUUCUCUCGAGCAACAGAACAUAUGAGUGAAGAAAGGACUAACAUAGAAUGACAUAGGGCUGCAUUCUUGUUAAUCACACAAUUUCAGCUGUGAAGGAAAAGUAUAAGAAUCCAGUACUUACUCAGUCCAGGAGGAUGGAUAUAUCUGGUGUUCUUCAGUAUACGCUGAAAUUCAAAUAAGCAUUCUCUAAUGGCAGUGAAGUGAUGGACUUGCUGUAAGGAAGAGGAGCUGACCAAGAGUCGAGAUUCUAUUGGCCCCCUGAAUGUUGGUGUCAGUCGAGGGCCUAGAAGUCUAUGGGGCCUCUGGCAGUGGAACCAGUAUUUCCCCUACUACACAAAUGGACUUUGGGAGCCCAUUCGCUACGAAGGAACACUUUCUCAGCCUAGAUACAAUGGAAUAGCCUACGUCCUGGCCCUAAAGAUGUAACAGAUAUUGAUGAUCCGCUAUGGGCGGACUCACCUUCCAUGAGGAAUGGAUGGGGGUUAGUUGGGGAGCAAAUAAGGAAAAACAUCAAGUAACAUAUAAAGGCAAACCUAUUAGAAUUCUACCUGACUUUUCCAUGGAAACACUGAAAGUCAGUAGGCCCUGGAUAGAUAUUCUACCAACAAUAAGAGACCCCGGAUGCCAACCCAGAAAACUGUACCCAGCAGAAUUUCCAAUCAAUACAAUGCAGAAAACAAGAUAUUCCAUGAUAUAACCAGAUUUAAACAAUACAUACCCACUAAUUUAGUCCAAAAGAAUAUUUUGGAAGGAAAAUUCCAACCCAAGGAAGUUAACUACAACCAGAAAAACAUAGGCAAGAGAUAAUCCCAGCUUACCAAUAGCCAAAAGAUAAAUGGGGUAGAAAUCCACACACAAUUCCAAACCAACAACAAAUCCAAAGCAAAAUAGAAUGAACAAUCAAUGUUCAUUAAUAUCGCUCAAUAUUAAUGGUAUUUAUUCACCUUUACAAAGCUCAGACUAACAGAAAAGCUCUUGAGAAUAGAGUGGCUUUGAGAAUUCUGUCUAAACUUCCACAACCAAGCAGAGCUCAAUGGACAAAAUUGGGUACUGCAAACAGAAAAACCAAGGAAUCCACAAACUGAUGGUAAAAUUUUUAUUCACUUUAUAUUGCUUUUGGUUAACAGAGAUUGAUACACCCAUAGACACAAGAGGAGGACUUCACCCACCGUAUCUCCAAUGACAGAUGUUUGAGAAUUCACCCAUGGAUG